rnacentral:rRNA from 1 species
CAGUCGCCACGGGAAUACGAGGGGGGCAAGCGUUGUUCGGAAUUAUUGGGCGUAAAGGGUGCGUAGGCGGCUUGACAAGUUUUGUGUGAAAUCUAUGGGCUCAACCCAUAGUCUGCACGGGAAACUGUCGGGCUUGAGAGUGGGAGAGGUGAGUGGAAUUUCCGGUGUAGCGGUGAAAUGCGUAGAUAUCGGAAGGAACACCUGUGGCGAAAGCGGCUCACUGGACCAUUUCUGACGCUGAUGCACGAAAGCUAGGGGAGCAAACAGGAUUAGAUACCCGUGUAGUCCCUGUCUCUUAUAC